rnacentral:lncRNA from 1 species
GGAAAUCAAAGGACUGUUGUCUAGCUUCGGGCAUUCCAGAAUUAGAUGAGGGUGUUCUGAAAGUGGUAAUGAUGGCCAAUGAAACUAGUCAAACAUCUAAAACGACAUCACUCAGGGAAUCUGAAAGAACCAAAACAAAGACCAACGUCAUUUUUCCCUGUCGUGAUUCGUGAAGCAAAAAAUAGUACCUUGGUAACAUCACAUCACAUCAAAA